GAGAGCAGGACACAGCUCACCGUGUAAAACAUCUUUCAUUAUUUCCUACAUCACUUAUGCUGUUUGUAUGAUGGGAGGAGGGAACAAGUGUGAGUUGAUUUAAUAUGUGACAAAAGGAGGGAAAAGCUGGCGUGCUGGCUCCUUCUUCAUGUGCGGGGGCUGCUGGGGGGAAAGGCAGCUUCUCUCUCCCUUGAUCGCCUUUCCAGUCGUUGGCCAUCUGUCUCUUCGAGUCUCCUCUUCUCCAGGUCAGAUACGGAUGGCACCUCCAGAAGACAUGGACCCCACGUUGCUGUUCAUCAUGUGGCCUCGGUCCAAACUGUUCACUUCCUUGAAACAUACUUUCUAUAUUUGUAAAAUGGAGGGUUGUGAGAGGUGGAGAUUUCUAAGAGUCUCUUGUCGCUGUUGAAGCUUCUAGUAAAAAACAUCGCCUUGUUAUAGUCCUUUCUAGCUCAUGAACGGGCCAUAUUAUGCCUACAACUGCCUCAUAGCAUGAUGUCUGGAACUAAACUCCUGCAUCUGGGGCCCAAGUGAGGUGUGCGGGAAGCUCCCAGGUUAGAUGUUUUCAAGAACUUUUUGGAAAACACAGCAUACUUUCUGAGCAUGUUGGGUUCAGCUCUGUUUGGCUUCUUUUGCCCAUAAUAUACACAGAAAAGGAGAACAGAUAGUAUAAUACAGAAUUAAAGAUGGAGCGGCCCAUCAGUCUCCAUCAUGGAGUGUAAAUUUUCUUAUUUGCGGAGUCAUCCAGCUCAGUCCUGUGGCCAUCUGUGUACUCAGAAGACGCUGGUUGAAGGCAGGGAUGUGUGCUCUCCAAAGAAAACAUUUUGCUUCUAUUUUUCUGAGGUUUGGAUUUGGAAAUCUGAGUCUCUUCUUGGACUCCUUUCUCCAUGACUCAUAACUUUUGUUCAGUCUGGAAAGAAUGCCAACUUGGGAGCUACAUCUGAAUUUUGACUGAGAGAGUGGUUGGGUCAAAAUCACAAUCUUGAGACAGAGCUGGGUUGGAUCCAUAAUGUCAUUCAGUGGGAAGAGCCCUGUGUUAGGACCAGGAGCCAGGCUCUCAUGCAGCCUCAGGCCAGCCAGUCAUGAAGGACCACCCGCACUGGUGACGAAGAUGAUUGCUGACACUCAUCCAACGUGUCUACAUGUUAACCAUUUUGUCCUCCUUCCAUUGGCUUCCUGGGUCUGGCUGGAGCUCCCUUUGGGAAGGCCAAUUCUCCAGAGAAGGUGGCAGCUGAGAGCCCAGCAGCCGACACGCACAGCAGCGUGGGGGACGGGUGCACAUCUGUCCUUUUUUGUCGCUAGGGUCACUGGCUGCCCAGCCCCACGAGGACUCACGGGACAGUGAUACCUCCUGGAGCUGAGCAACGCCACACCCACAGCCCUGUUUGUACUAAUCUUCUAAAAGGGAAAGUGGUGUAGAUUGUAAAGAUUAGUGAACUUGUAUUUCCAGUGUUUGAAUUCCAGGAAAACUGUAAGUACAUAAACAGUCUAAA